GAGAGGAAGAGCUGGAGAAGCCAGAGGAGCCUGGGACAAGACAACAUGUGAGGAAUGCAGACCAGAGGGGAAGGCAGAGAUGAUGCUGAACUCUAUUCCCCUGCCUUUUUGUUCCCUCCAGAUGGCAGCAAUUCUAUCCAGUUGGAGCAAAGACAGCAGAUACAGAGGAGAAAAUCAAUGGACUUUGUCAUAAAAAUGUUUAAUAAUAGAAAAUGCCCAAAUAAGACAUUUUCAUGCAAGGAAAAUAUCGGGUAGAAAUACUUUCCUAACUAUAAAAGUACAGAAAGAGUCCCAGAAGAAUUGGCACUUCUUAUAACCUUAAAGUUAUUUCCUACAAAACUGAAUUACAACAAAGCAAAUAAACUGUUUAAAUCAAUAUCUAGUUCUGAGUUUAAAGAUUCAAGCUCCAAGUUAAAUCUAAGGAACAUUGCCAUAAAGAUUAAACAGGCAGUGGGUUAUAUUUGUUAAAGGGCCAGUUUUAAGGUUGAAAAACACUUUAAAGGGAUACCUAAAGGGUUUUGAUGGUGUACUUUUUAUUUCUAAAUUACAAUUACAUAACAAAUAAUUUACUCUACCAUUUAAAAUGUUAUUCUUUAACCAAUAAAUGUGUUUUUAGCUGUACUAUUGGUAUGUAGGCAUCCAUCUCAGGUCAUUGUGUCCAAUCCUGUGCUUUCAGAAAGAGCCAGCAAUUCACAAUGGAACUUCUUUCAGAUAUUAGCUAUUGUUUACUUCUAUGUAACUGGAGGAGUCGUGGUCAGGCUUGGAUGUUUCACUGCUGAGAGAUGUUCUCUUAUCUACCACAUGGUGGAUCAUGGGUGGUCAGGGACCUGCUGCCUUGUUAUAUUCCCUAUUGUUUUGUUGAUGGGCUGCUGGGGGAGAAGGGAGGGGGUGAUAAUACUCCAACUAGCAGUAUUACCGGAUGUGUUUUGAAAAAACCUUUUCCUUGGACAGAAUAUUGUUUCCAUAUAAACAGGAUUAUUUUCAGGUAGAACAGGAGAAAAAUAAACACCAGUGCUUUGCUAUAAAAUAGACAAUACAAUUCAAGAUUCAGUCUUAUAUCUCCGCUUUAUGCAUAUAUUCUUGCAGUGGCGUAAUUACAAAAUAUUAUAAGUUCCCCACUAAACUUUGUGAUUAAGGCAGCUUUCCUUAGUAUGUAUUGUAACUACUUAUGAUACAGUGCCCCACUUCAACCACUAUACCUCCUGGGUCCCCCAGCAUUUGGAGGGCCUGCUUUCUUUAUAUCUAUGACUCUGUAUACUUGGGAGAUGUCACAUUGAUAGCACUCACCUUUUUGCUUCAAGUACUGUAUCUGUAUGGUGGUCCUGUGAUGGUAUAAAACUGUUGCAAUGAGUGCCUCUACUUCAUUUGUGUCUAUGUUAUUCACAAUAACGAUUUUCCUAAUGGUUUAUGUGCAAGUUAAUACAGUAUUUUAAAAUCA